rnacentral:rRNA from 1 species
UACGAAGGGGGCUAGCGUUGUUCGGAUUUACUGGGCGUAAAGCGCACGUAGGCGGAUCGUUAAGUCGGGGGUGAAAUCCUGGAGCUCAACUCCAGAACUGCCUUCGAUACUGGCGAUCUUGAGUCCGGAAGAGGUGAGUGGAACUCCUAGUGUAGAGGUGGAAUUCGUAGAUAUUCGCAAGAACACCAGUGGCGAAGGCGGCUCACUGGCCCGGUACUGACGCUGAGGUGCGAAAGCGUGGGGAGCAAACAGGG